rnacentral:tRNA from 1 species
GGCGCGUUAGUGAAGGGGUAAUCACGCAGCCCUCUCAAGGCUGAAUCACGGGUUCAAAUCCCGUACGCGCUACCA